GACUUAACAGGAAUGAUUAUUUACUCCCCUUGAUAAGGAUGGAAGAGGUCCUUGUGGCCUUUACAACACAUAUAUGGUUAAGGCAUUGCCACUUACUUUGUGGCAUCUAACCACCAUUUUGC